ensembl:ncRNA M110.11 ncRNA
CUUUGGCGGACGGAGAGCUCGGUGGGCUUGAAGGUAGGCAGGCCCUUUGGCUCCUUCAUGAAAUUAUAAUUAAGAGUUUUUUGUUCGAAGUUGUUCUCAAGCAAAAUUACU